GACGAACGCUGGCGGCGUGCCUAACACAUGCAAGUCGAGCGGGGGGAGUUCUUCGGAACGCACCUAGCGGCGGACGGGUGAGUAACACGUGGGCAACCUGCCUUGAGGAGGGGGAUAACAGGAUGAAAGUCCUGCUAAUACCGCAUAACCCGGUGCUGUCGCAUGAUGGCAUCGGCAAAGGAGCAAUCCGCCUCAAGAUGGGCCCGCGGCGCAUUAGCUAGUUGGUGGGGUAACGGCCUACCAAGGCGACGAUGCGUAGCCGACCUGAGAGGGUGAUCGGCCACAUUGGAACUGAGACACGGUCCAGACUCCUACGGGAGGCAGCAGUGGGGAAUAUUGCACAAUGGGCGAAAGCCUGAUGCAGCAACGCCGCGUGAGCGAUGAAGGUCUUCGGAUCGUAAAACUCUGUUAUUAGGGAAGAACAUAUGUGUAAGUAACUGUGCACAUCUUGACGGUACCUAAUCAGAAAGCCACGGCUAACUACGUG
rnacentral:rRNA from 1 species